rnacentral:lncRNA from 1 species
UUUUUCAAUGCUGAGAACCUCGAUCAGAGAGAACAAGGGCCAAACCAGCCACCCAAGAAUGGAAUCGUCGAACGAAAACACUUGACAACCUCUUGCAAGCAACUUUUCUUGCCACCAGACCUUUCUCCAUCAAUUAGGAAUUUAAUACCGUCACAAAACACAUUCCUUAAAUUGUAGCCAUUUUUUGAGUGUUUAUUUUUUGGUGUCUAAUCCGCAUAUAUAUCACCAUUGCUCUUGAUUUUCUUGACUGUAUAUCUCUUAAAUGUCAAUAUAUACACAUGCGAUUUAGUUUACGAAGAUUUUUCAGUGCCGAGAACCUCGAUCAGAGAGUAAAAAAGGCGUAAGGUUCGCAAUGGUGUAAAACUAAAAUGGGAUAUACCGGGCUAGGAUUCGAGUUACAGGAACAAGGCCCAAACCAACCACCCAAGAAUGGAAUCGUCUAGCGCAAACACUUGACAACCUCCUGGAAGCAGCUUUUCUUGCCACCAAACCUUUCUCCAUCAAUUAGGAAUCUGAUGCCGUCACUAAACACAUUCCUUAAAUUGUAGCCAUUUUUUGAGUGUUUAUUUUUUGGUGUCUAAUCCGCAUAUAUAACACCAUUGCUC